rnacentral:rRNA from 1 species
GAUGAACGCUGGCGGCGUGCCUAAUACAUGCCAGUCGAGCGAACAGAUAAGGAGCUUGCUCCUUUGACGUUAGCGGCGGACGGGUGAGUAACACGUGGGUAACCUACCUAUAAGACUGGAAUAACUCCGGGAAACCGGGGCUAAUGCAGGAUAACAUGUUGAACCGCAUGGUUCUACAGUGAAAGGCGGCUUUGCUGUCACUUAUAGAUGGACCCGCGCCGUAUUAGCUAGUUGGUGAGGUAACGGCUCACCAAGGCAACGAUACGUAGCCGACCUGAGAGGGUGAUCGGCCACACUGGAACUGAGACACGGUCCAGACUCCUACGGGAGGCAGCAGUAGGGAAUCUUCCGCAAUGGGCGAAAGCCUGACGGAGCAACGCCGCGUGAGCGAUGAAGGUCUUCGGAUCGUAAAACUCUGUUAUUAGGGAAGAACAAAUGCGUAAGUAACUGUGCGCGUCUUGACGGUACCUAAUCAGAAAGCCACGGCUAACUACGUG